GGAAGGGAGGCCUGCGGGGCAGAACGAUCGGCCUGAGGAGACGCGAGGGCAGAGAGGCUGGAAGCGAGGGGGUCUCAGGGGUCGGGCGGGCUCUCCGGAAUCCCAGGACCGGGGAGAGGAAUCGGCUUCUCCGGGAGUGGAACUGUCGACGCGACCUCCAGGGGUCGACAGGGUGAGGCGGUGGAGGUGGGCGUGCCCGAAUCCCCCUCGCGCCCGGGGACUUGACAAGGCACAGGCGCAGGUACUAACGGUUAAGUUUUAAGCAUGAAAAUAUCCCGGAAGGCGGCGUCUCCGGGGCCAAAGGCGAAAACCAAACGGCAAGGACAAGCCUCACAGCGAUUUCGAAUACUUGACCUAAACGGCGGCCUCUGGGUUUAUUUAGGGCGGAGUUCGGGGUAUUGGGAUAUUACUGCCGCAGAACCAGCCGGACCCUGAAGAUGGGCGUGGCGAAGGCAGGCGCUUAGGGUUACUCUAGGAAAAAAAACAAGCAAAGGCCGUGCGGCGACCUUCUCUGUCCGCUUUCCGCUUCCGCAGGAAACUGCGCACGCGCGGAUAACGAGGCGGAACUUCCGGGUCGGGGGCUGGGCGGAUCGCUGCAGGCGAGGGGCGGGGCGAGGAGCGUCCCGGUAGGCAGGCCGAGACCUCCUGGAAAUUUUGAGGAUUUGGGUCACUUUGCUCUCCCCCUCCGGAUGCGAGGAAAACAUGCACUGGGCACAGUGGAGAGGAGGAAGCUGGCGGGUUCCGCGGACCAGAGGCGCUGCUGCGGCGGGGCUCCACGCCGCCAUGCCCGCAGAGGCGGCCGGCCUUCCCAGCUGGAAGGCCAAACUCCACAUGGCUCGGUUCCAGAGACACAAGGUCAAAACCUACAGUCUGAGACUGGAGGACUAAGGUAUGUGGCACAUGCACGUGAUUUGGAAAGACAUGGAGAGAACCCCACUGCACUGGCAGCAAGAAAUAGCAGCUGUAUCAUCUCCAGAAGAAGCCUUUGCACUACAGAUUGCUAUGGAGCUGAUGGUCCUCAGAGUCUAUGAAUAAUCCUUCCCUGUGCCUGUGAAGUAAGUCUCUUCAGUCAUGUCUGACUGUUUGGGACCCUAUGGACUGUAGUCCACCAGACUCCUCUGCCAUGGAUAGGUUGCCACGCCCUCCUCCCAACUCAGGGAUCAAACCCGCGUCUCUUACUCCUGCACCACCAGGAGUAGAAAUUCCCUGGUGGUGGUGUGGUAAAUAAUCUAACUGCCAAUGCAUAGGACCCGGGUUUGAUCCCUGGUCUGAGAGGAUACCAUGUGCGUUGGAGCAACUAAGUCCAUGCAACACAAGUACUGAGCCUGUACUCUAAAGCCUGUGCUCUGCAACAAGAGUAGCUACAGCAGUGAGAAGCCUGAACGCAAGUAACUAGAAAGUCGCUUCUGCUUGCUGCAACUAGAGAAAG
ensembl:lncRNA